UGGCAGUUCCCUACCAGAAGCCAAGGAGGAGGGAGCUCUCAGCCAUGUUCUGAUACUGCAGAGAGAGAAAGGAUCCCUGGUAGGACUGAACGUUGUUAUGGCCGGGCAGCUUCUGUUUAUGUUAUAGUCAAGAGGCUUAUGUUUGUGUUGCUAUUUGUUAAACUGGUGGUUUGGGUGAGGCUAUUAGGGGUUGGAGGAGGCCUCAUAGGGGACUCACACUAGUGUGGGGAACCCCAGCGCCAGCAAGGGCGCAGCAUUGGGGGUGCACAGACCCUAGCCCCAGAGAGGGGCAGUUGAGAAGCCCCAGAGAAGGGGGUGUUGCUAAGAAGACCCAGUGCAGGCAUGGUGAGCCCCGGAGAAGGGGGCAGCAUUGUAGAAGAGCCCCAGAGGAGGGCAGCAUUACUGGGGAAACCCUAGAGAAGGGGGUGGCAUUAUUGAGAAGGCCCUAGAGAAGGGGGUGGCAUUAUUGAGAAGGCCCUAGAGAAGGGGGAGGCGUUACUGAGGAGCCCCGGAGAGAGGGCAUGGAGAGAGACAGGGCCACAGAGAGCCCGAGCGCCAGAGAAGGGGUGUAGACCCAGACCAGACAACGUCUACUCCAGCGGUGAGGCGUGGACUGCGGUGUAGGGGAGGAAGCAGAGCCGCAGAUAACACCCCCUGGCAUCGGGGCAGUACAAUAGGCAGCCUUCCGCUCGCAAGAAUAUCAUCAUAAUUUCCAUUAAGACGUGGCAGGAGAGUAUGGGGCAGGACAUAAGAACCCUAAAGAAGGAUCCAAGGGUGCGCCACGCAAGGCAUGGAGUACUAGGAAGAUGGUGCUGGGAAGGGCGACCUGUUAUAUGCAUGUAUAGACUGUGACGCUUUAUUGAGGAGCUACUUAGUCAACGCUUGCAGUAAAGCGCACCUGUAGAUGCACCCAAUGUGUCCCGAAUUUUUCUGCUUUUCAGUCUUUGUUACUUUAACACUCCCAUUAUUUCCCCCUUACUAUUUCUGUACCAUCACGUGAUCCACAUAUGCUCAUUCCACGUACCACAUGCGGGGCUGCUGGUUAAAUUACCAGUCCUGAAAGUAAUACAUAUUAUCAGUACUGUGUUAAUUCUCAUCCUGAUGGCAUAUGGGAGUUUUGUUGUUAACUGCUUCCCCAAACUUCUUCUUUCCUAUGCUUUUCCUCUUAGUAGCCAUGGUCUUGAGUAUCCAUGUAGGCUAAAAUCCAGAGUCUGACUUGCAACAAAAUUGCUGGACAGAGUGCUGGUAGGUAUCAUGAAGUUAGAGUGCAUGAGAAACCUCCCCAAGAGGCACAGGACUUCAAAGAUGUCCUUAAAAACCUCUUCUAGUCCCUAUAAAGACCUGAAAGGAGAAAAGUUUCCUGCAAUGCACUGUACCCCAUUAUGGAUCACCUAUGCCCCGCUUCCUUCUGCCACUUAGUCACAAGUCUAGCUCCAGGCCCAAAUAGCCAGGUUAUCUGAGCUCUGUAACACACUCUUUCUAUUACCCAGAUCUAGCUCUUUCUUUCUUGAACACAAAGAGCUGUGCCUUUAAAGGCUGCCUAUCUGGGAACAUUCACCUGUUUUGUGACAGCAGCAGAGGUGGUGUUUGGAUUUUGGACUUUAAGUGGAACAUACACCAAAAUAAAAUCUUUCUACUUAAAUAAACAGGCUGUAAAGAUGCUUAGGUAUUUAAAAAAGCAUUUACAGUGGCAGGUAAAAUGUCAUUUACUUGAUUUUUAUUCCCAUUUGUUUGAUCCCACUGUGAAUAUCUAAUCUACUGGUCAGGAAAAUGACUGCAUUCCCACAAUGGUAUUACAAUUGUUUUUAUUUUAUUGCAGGAACCAAUACCACAUUAUGCUAAGGACUGCACAGACAAACUACAAGUAUAUGGUCUCUGCCACAAGCAGGUUACAAUUUAAGUCAUUCUCUAAUACCACAUUUCCCAAAGGAGGUCCUGUGUAUUAUCAUGCUUUGAUGUCAGGUUUGUCAGAUUCUAAAAGAGCAAUGAGAUAUGGAUGCAAGGUUUUAGUGAUUAACCAUCUCUAUAUCCUCCCUUUUAUAUUUACAUUUCCUCCAUUUUAUAUUCAAUAUGCUCUGCUUCCUGUCUUUGUUGUUUUUAUUUUAACUUCUCUGAUUUUGUUUAGGUCCAACUGGAACCCAAACUAACAUUGCCAUGCAUCCUCCUGUGUUGGUACAUGAGUGAUCCCAACAAUGUGAUUGGGGACUGACAGGAGAGAAAAGGCUGCAGGAUCAUCACUCCUUCCUUCCGCACACAAAUGCAGAAGAAGAAGCUGAGGAACCAGAGCUGAGCUGGUGCUGGAGGAGUUGCAUUACUUCCCACUCACCAGCAAGGAAGCAGCAGGAACAUCUUUAUAAAUCAUACAUCCUUGCCAAGCUGCCUCCUGGGAAGACAAAGCUAUUUCUUAUCGUGAUUGUUUUAAUUUAGAUUAUUUGAAGUUGAAAGUAGGCUGCCAGUGAAGUAAAUGAGAAGCAGAGGAGAAAAUGACUGCCCUGAGUCCUUGUUGGAAAAGGCGGCAUAGAAAUCAAAUAAAAACAUCCAUAAUUUGGAUGCACUUUCUGUCCUCCAACACAUAAUAACAUCACGGGGAUUAAAAGACAGUAAUAACGGACAAAACAGCUCAUUAUUUGAAACUAUGACUCUAUUCAGCCUCUGCUUAACAGCAUUGUCACAGACUCCCAGGGGAGUCACACUUUUUUUUUUGAGCUGGAGAUGGAGCCUUAUAAUGAAAACUGUCAACAAACAAGGUGAAUGUUCCUUCCGUAGGGAAUGGGCAUUAGGUCUGGAGGUACUGCGAUACCAGGACAGCACCAGGAGGGCCAGAGCCAACCCUGACACCCUCCUAUUGGUGCUAAAAAGGUUUAAUCUUAGCCAAAAUGCUAAGAUGUUGAUGGAGACUCAAGCAGAAGCCCUGUUACUUGAGCUAACUCCGGGAGGAGUGACCUCCGAAUGCACCCUGCCAGGUGGAGAGGAUUUCACAUCUGGAAAGAGGUUGGAUGAUUAGCCUGCAAAAACCACGACGUGUGGACGAAGAGUGAAAGAAGCGGAGACCGAGUUCUGCCAAUGAGGCAAUUAGCUGUUUAGAUUAGUUUUAGCAAAGUAUUGUUAAAAAUUUCAGUUCAGAGUUUUCCUUAUCUUCAAAUCAACUGCCUUUGUCAAUGAAGUUACUGUACCUUCUACUUUGAAAAAUAAACCUAUAA